GAUGAACGCUGGCGGCGUGCCUAAUACAUGCAAGUCGAGCGAACAGACGAGGAGCUUGCUCCUCUGACGUUAGCGGCGGACGGGUGAGUAACACGUGGAUAACCUACCUAUAAGACUGGGAUAACUUCGGGAAACCGGAGCUAAUACCGGAUAAUAUAUUGAACCGCAUGGUUCAAUAGUGAAAGACGGUUUUGCUGUCACUUAUAGAGGGAUCCGCGCCGCAUUAGCUAGUUGGUAAGGUAACGGCUUACCAAGGCAACGAUGCGUAGCCGACCUGAGAGGGUGAUCGGCCACACUGGAACUGAGACACGGUCCAGACUCCUACGGGAGGCAGCAGUAGGGAAUCUUCCGCAAUGGGCGAAAGCCUGACGGAGCAACGCCGCGUGAGUGAUGAAGGUCUUCGGAUCGUAAAACUCUGUUAUUAGGGAAGAACAAAUGUGUAAGUAACUAUGCACGUCUUGACAGUACCUAAUCAGAAAGCCACGGCUAACUACGUG
rnacentral:rRNA from 1 species